UUUAAAAAGGAGAAGAAGCCUCUUAUUAUUAUUCUCUGGAAACUUAUGUAUCCACAAUAAGUAACAUGAAAUGGGUUUAUUUAUUUAUUCAUGGGAAUAUGGAUCAACUCUGUUUUUCUGGCCACAGGCAACACACGCACACGCACAUAUUUAUACAUGGAGAGAGAGAGAGAGAGAGAGAAUAGAAGUUCCAAAAAACUUAAUUAAGAAGUAGACGACGUCGUUUCAACUUAAAAUAUUUCAAGGGCACUUGUGUCUGCCGUGGUGGGUGGUCAUAUUGGCGUAGCAAGGGCAGACCUCAGUGUUGCCUGCAGUGCCUGGAGGAACACAAUUGCAGCGGGCGCAGCAGGUACCACAUGCCCUGUGGCACAGGUUUGGCCUCGACGAUAAUCGGCACCUGGCCUGGCAUGCACCUCCACAGUCUGAUUGAUUAGAAAAAAAAUAAAUAAAUAAAAUCAGAUUAAUCAGCUGUACAUGAACAUUAAUUUAAUCGAAGCAAACAGAAACAGAAGUAUUAAUUUG
rnacentral:lncRNA from 1 species